UACGUAGGGUGCAAGCGUUGUCCGGAAUCAUUGGGCGUAAAGAGCGUGUAGGCGGCCCGGUAAGUCCGCUGUGAAAGUCAAAGGCUCAACCUUUGAAUGUCAGCGGAUACUGCCGGGCUAGAGUCCGGAAGAGGCGAGUGGAACUCCUGGUGUAGCGGUGGAAUGCGCAGAUAUCAGGAAGAACACCAACGGCGAAGGCAGCUCGCUGGGACGGUACUGACGCUGAGACGCGAAAGCGUGGGGAGCGAACAGG
rnacentral:rRNA from 1 species